rnacentral:misc_RNA from 1 species
GUGAAUCAUCAAAUCUUUGAACGCAAAUUGCACUCUCUUCGGAGAGGAUGGCUGUUUGUGGGUGAGCCUAAAAAAAAUCGACAUAGUUGCUGUUAUGCGGUAAUAUUCGGUGGAAAUUGGGUAAUGUUAAAUCUUUGGGUUUAAGAGGUUUAUAAUUUUCUGUACGAUGACAAGAGCGUUUCAAAGAUUUUAUUUUCUUAUACGUUUAAGGUAUCGAACUUUAGUAGACGGGGCCGGUGCAUAGGAUUUC